rnacentral:misc_RNA from 1 species
AAGUCGUAACAAACCUGCGGAAGGAUCAUUAACACGUAUCCAACGUUAAAAACCCCGUGCAUUAACCCUGCUCUCUUCGGCCUUGAUAAACAAUCUCUGGUAAAUCACGCAGAACAGUUUCGGAAACCAAAUCUCAAGGAUAACUGAUACUUACUCAGAUCGUUGACCCUCACGGCCAACGGACAGGUCUCUGGGGCUUCGGCUCCCCUUCUAUUAAUCCCUAUGUGAAAGUCGGGCUUGCAAACUACAGGCCCACAAACGAACAACUGUUCACAAUGGAUAUCUUGGUUCUC